AAAGAACUGAAGUAUGCUUAUGUUCAUUUUACUUCCUGCUAAGUAAUCCUCUGAAAUAAUAUAUAAUAGACUAAUAGAUAAUCUUUAUUUUACACAGGAAAUUUGGAUACAGAACACUGUUUUCUCCAUUAACUUUGUGUGUGUUUAGCUUUCAUUUGUUUUCUAAAAUGUUUUAGUAUUCCAUUUCUUCUAAUUAUUGAAGAAGAUAAAGGGUAUCAGGUUUAUGGAAUAUGGGGGUUGAAUAUUAUUAACCGAAGCUUAUUUCUUAACCAUACAUAUUUGUUCAGAUGUUGAAUGUGAAGCUAACAUCUUUAAUAGAAUUUAUAUCAUGAACUUUGUUCACUGAGAAUUUGAAUAUCAGAGUAUAGUUAAAUGGCAUUUGUGAAGCCUUAGUUGUUUCUUAAUGUUUUCUGA
rnacentral:lncRNA from 1 species